UGUAAUCGCUGGUCUUUUAUAGAUUAGAGGAAAGUCCAUGCUCGCACAUUCUGAGAUGAAUGUAGUGUUUAUGCUAGCUUAAAAAAUAAGGCUAGGUAUUUUGGAGAAAAUAACGGCAGGAAUAAAUCUAAAAGGAAACUCAUGAUUCUAUUCCUAUAAAGUGCCACAGUGACGAAUUUAAUAGAAAUAUUAAAAUGAAACGCGGUAAACCCCUUAAGCGAGAAACUCAAAUAUUGGUAGAGGAAAUCAAUCUAAAGAAUUGAAUGGAGAUUGGUAAGUUGCAAAACUUAGAUAAAUGAUUACAUAAAACAUAACAUGGCUUACG
rnacentral:RNase_P_RNA from 1 species